GUUUUCUACUCCUUUUAUUAAAUUUGCCUCAUUAGUGUUGUCUCCUUUGAGUAGAUCAUCUCUUUCUUAGUGGGGUUUUGAUGACUACAACCACAAAACAAGAAAGUGAGAACUCAGGAAACACAGCAGAAGAAAACAAUUUGAUAGAAGAUGCUACAGUAGAGAUGAAAAAUUGAAGACAACAUAUUCAGGAUGGCGUAGGAACUAGAAGAAAAUGUGAUAAAUAUUUGGUGUCAUGAGAUGAAGAAAAUCAACCAUAAUGAGGAAAGAAGCCUACAGGCACAAGGAAGCUGGACCUUGGACAGCACAACUGCUAUUUGCCAAGUUGAGGAAAAGAAAAAAAAAAUGACUGUCUACCAGGAGUUGGAGCAGUUUUUAGAUGCUGUCAUCCUUAUUAUGCACCCUUGUGGAUUUGGAGGAGGUGGUGGGGUUCUUGACGCACAUCAUUUGCUUCCACAAAUCUCCAAAGUGAUGUCUCCUUUCCUAGAGCUGCUUUCCCAGCUGGCUCCAAUGGUUGAAGUUAAAAGGUUUAAAAAUCCCAUUAAUUUGGCAGCCUGGGUGGCUCAGCGGUUUAGCUCCACCUUCAGCCCAGGGCAUGAUCCUGGAGACCUGGGAUUGAGUCCCACAUCCAGUUCCCUGCAUGGAACCUGCUUCUCCCUCUGCCUGUGUCUCUGCCUCUCUCUCUCUCUCUGUCUCUCAUGAAUAAAUAAAUAAAAUCUUAAAAAAAAAAUAAAAAUAAAAACCC
rnacentral:lncRNA from 1 species